rnacentral:tRNA from 1 species
GUCCCCAUCGUCUAGCGGUUAGGACACCACCCUUUCACGGUGGCGACCGGGGUUCGAUCCCCCGUGGGGACGCCA